rnacentral:ncRNA from 1 species
UGGAUUGGCUGCGGGUGUCCCCGCGAGCCGGCCUCCACUUGUCGAAAGAUAACGGAGCGUCGGCUGAGCAGGACUGAGAUCAUACCGCUUGAACCUGAUCAGCGCACGAGACCUGCGUAGGGAAGCCCCGAUCCGUGUCG